rnacentral:rRNA from 1 species
UACGUAGGGUGCGAGCGUUGUCCGGAAUUAUUGGGCGUAAAGAGCUCGUAGGUGGCUUGUCACGUCGGGUGUGAAAGCUUGGGCUUAACUCCAGGUCUGCAUUCGAUACGGGCUGGCUAGAGGUAGGUAGGGGAGAACGGAAUUCCUGGUGUAGCGGUGAAAUGCGUAGAUAUCAAGAGGAACACCUGCGGCGAAGGCGGGUUGCUGGGCUGACACUGACGCUGAGGCGCGAAAGCUAGGGGAGCGAACGGGAUAGAUACCC